rnacentral:rRNA from 1 species
GACGAACGCUGGCGGCGUGCCUAAUACAUGCAAGUCGAGCGAAUCAAUAGGAGCUUGCUCCUGUUGGUUAGCGGCGGACGGGUGAGUAACACGUGGGCAACCUGCCUGUAAGACUGGGAUAACACCGGGAAACCGGUGCUAAUACCGGAUAAUCCUUUUCCUCUCAUGAGGAAAAGUUGAAAGUCGGUUUCGGCUGACACUUACAGAUGGACCCGCGGCGCAUUAGCUAGUUGGUGAGGUAACGGCUCACCAAGGCGACGAUGCGUAGCCGACCUGAGAGGGUGAUCGGCCACACUGGGACUGAGACACGGCCCAGACUCCUACGGGAGGCAGCAUUAGGGAAUCUUCCACAAUGGACGAAAGUCUGAUGGAGCAACGCCGCGUGAGCUAUGAAGGCCUUCGGGUCGUAAAGCUCUGUUGUUAGGGAAGAACAAGUAUCGGAGUAACUGCCGGUACCUUGACGGUACCUAACCAGAAAGCCACGGCUAACUACGUGCCAGCCGCCGCAGUAA